rnacentral:rRNA from 1 species
CCUACGGGUAGCAGCAGUGAGGAAUAUUGGUCAAUGGACGCAAGUCUGAACCAGCCAUGCCGCGUGCAGGAAGACGGCUCUAUGAGUUGUAAACUGCUUUUGUACGAGGGUAAACGCAGAGACGUGUAUCUGUCUGAAAGUAUCGUACGAAUAAGGAUCGGCUAACUCCGUGCCAGCAGCCGCGGUCAUACGGAGGAUUCAAGCGUUAUCCGGAUUUAUUGGGUUUAAAGGGUGCGUAGGCGGUCGGAUAAGUUAGAGGUGAAAUCCCGGGGCUCAACUUCGGAAUUGCCUAUGAUACUGUUCGGCUUGAGAGUAGUUGCGGUAGGCGGAAUGUAUGGUGUAGCGGUGAAAUGCUUAGAGAUCAUACAGAACACCGAUUGCGAAGGCAGCUUACCAGGCUACUUCUGACGUUGAGGCACGAAAGCGUGGGGAGCAAACAGGAUUAGAUACCCCUGUAGUC